CCGGGAGGGCGGCCGUGUCACGGUUAGCGGAGCAGUCCCAGGGCGGGGUAGCUUUUUAUUCACCCACCGUGUCCCUGCACAGCGCCGCGCCUGGCGCACGGUAAACGCCCAGUAACUGGACGGAUGGCUGACGAACGGGAGAGGAGGAACUGGGUUUUCAGACUGCUCUAUGGAGUUCCAAGGAGAUGAGCAACCUUUGUUUUUAAGUGUCACACUAGGACAAGUGUGAUAAAAACAGGAGUUACUAACAA